rnacentral:rRNA from 1 species
UACGUAGGGGCCGAGCGUUGUCCGGAGUUAUUGGGCGUAAAGCGCGCGCAGGCGGCUUGGCGCGCCCGACGUGAAAGCCCCCGGCUUAACCGGGGAGGGUCGUCGGGUACGGCCAGGCUUGAGGGCGGGAGAGGGUGGUGGAAUUCCCGGUGUAGUGGUGAAAUGCGCAGAUAUCAGGAGGAACACCGAUGGCGAAGGCAGGUCUCUGGGCCAUAACUGACGCUGAGAAGCGAAAGCAUGGGGAGCGAACAGG